GACGUAGGUGGCGAACGUUAUCCGGAAUUAUUGGGCGUAAAGGCUGCGUAGAUGGUGUAGUAAGUUAUCGGUGGUAAAUCGAGGCUCAACCUCGUGGAAGUCGGUAAUACUGCUAUGCUAGAGGAUAGGAGAGGUUAACGGAACUCCCUGUGGAGCGGUGAAAUGCGUAGAUAUAGGGAAGAACACCAAUAAGGCGAAGGCAGUUAACUAUUCUAUUCCUGACAUUGAGGCAUGAAAGCGUGGGGAGCAAAAC
rnacentral:rRNA from 1 species